AGCGAACGCUGGCGGCAGGCCUAACACAUGCAAGUCGAACGAACUCUUCGGAGUUAGUGGCGGACGGGUGAGUAACACGUGGGAACGUGCCUUUUGGUUCGGAAUAACUCAGGGAAACUUGUGCUAAUACCGAAUGUGCCCUUCGGGGGAAAGGUUUAUCGCCAUUAGAGCGGCCCGCGUCUGAUUAGCUAGUUGGUGAGGUAACGGCUCACCAAGGCGACGAUCAGUAGCUGGUCUGAGAGGAUGACCAGCCACACUGGGACUGAGGCACGGCCCAGACUCCUACGGGAGGCAGCAGUGGGGAAUCUUGCGCAAUGGGCGAAAGCCUGACGCAGCCAUGCCGCGUGAAUGAUGAAGGUCUUAGGAUUGUAAAAUUCUUUCACCGGGGACGAUAAUGACGGUACCCGGAGAAGAAGCCCCGGCUAACUUCGUG
rnacentral:rRNA from 1 species